rnacentral:sRNA from 1 species
GCCAGGCAUGGUGGUGUAUGCCUGUAAUCCCAGUGACUUGGGAGACUGAGACAGGAUUAUAAGUUUGAGGUCAGCCUCAGCAACUUAGUGAGACCCUGUCUCAA